GUCUCCGGUAAUGAGCCACAGGAGUGUGCAGCGGACAAUGCAGGCUCACUUGCUUUUAAUAGAAACAAAAGCCAGAGUGAUGAGAAGUCAGUUUCCAAACUAAAUCCAAUGUUUCCUGCCCCCAAGUUCGGAGGUUCUGAAGCAAUGGCUUCUGUCUUUGCUAGGAGAUUAGAUGCUCUUAAGCACAUCAGCCCAUCUGGCAUAACAGAAGGAAAUAUGAAGCUCCUAACUGGUGAAGAGAGUCGAUCUAAAGCUUCUGUGGAUCAGGAUGACUCGAGAGUGGAGACAGAUCUCAAUUUGAGCUGAAAAUUAAAUUCAGCCUCCAAGAAGAUGAGACAUUCUUCAAAUUCAGUUAAAAGAUACAGUGCUUCAAGCUCUGGGCAAAAUAACAUCAAACAAAAACCGGUCAUCCCUUUGUCACAGUUUGUCAAUAUACCAGUUACAGAUGUACCUAAAGGAAUUUAUGACUCUGUAAAAAGGCUUCGCUUGUCUCGCACAGAUGUCCUGAAAUGGAUGGAUUCUCAUACCUCACUCUCAAAUCUGGUGGGGUUUUUCUUGCGUCUGCGGCUUGGUAAAUCUGAAACAGGACUAGGUGGAACUAGAUACUAUGUGUCAUGUAUAACUGGUUGUCAGAGGGAAA